CAGUCUUAAUGUCCAAUUAUUAUAAGGUAAAUCAGUCCCAAUGUUCAAUUAUUACAAGGCAAAUCAGUCCCAAUAUUCAAUUAUUACAAGGUCGAAUCAAAACUAAAGGAAAAAAACAAAAUAAGGACUCGAAGAGAACAUAAGAGACAUGGAUCUUCAAACUUGGGGGUAUAUUCAGUUCAAGCUCAAUACAUCAAUAGAUAUUGAAAUAUACCUGAAAUUCAACAAGGAAGAGAGCCUAUGAGUAAAUGAAGCAACUAGCAACGCAAGCAGCAGCCAAUCAACCAUCAAACAACCAGAAAUUCAGGAAAGUUUUGAGAAAAUUCAACAGGAACAGGAUAGCACUCAGAAUUUCUGAAGAAUGUGGAGGAAACUAAUAUGCAUUUUGUAUUCUAAUUUACUACCAGGCUUUUAAUAAUUUCUGCUCGAAAAUUUCCAAAAGUCAACAAAAAAAAAUCCUCCCCUCAAAUGUUCAGAUUGCUCCUUUUAUAUUGAAGCCUUAGGGCAACACUUUUCCUUUUAGUCCCUUAUUCAAAUUUCAGUUUUUACCUAAGCAGUCCUUAGUUUUCUGACUGUGCCUCAAGUUUGAGGCUGAAAUUAUGCCUAGGUCCCUCACUAGAAUGUUCUAGGGGUUGUUACAACAUUCUUUCAGGCUCAAAUACCCUCUAUACCCCUGUUUCCUUUCCUAAUUAACUAACUUAAGGUUUUUACCCUUGAUUUUCAUUUCGUUUGGUCAAAUCUGACCCUAGUCAAUUGUGUUCGAGUUAUGGGCCAAAUUUGGUCUGGACUACAGGCUUGAUAGAAAAGUUUAAGAAUUAGCCAGUACAACUAAAUAUCCUAAUGUGGACUAUUCAGCAACAAUUAUCCUAACUUUAGGAUCAUAUGAAUGU
rnacentral:lncRNA from 1 species